rnacentral:lncRNA from 1 species
GUACGUGUUCUCCCAUUUUACGUGACAAUUACGACGAUAUCGAUUUGAUGAAAUACGUAAAAAUCACUGCUUCGAUUUUCCAUUCUCAUGGCCAAUUAGAGACGAGAUAAAGUAACUGAAUGCUCUUAUCUUGGUUGUCCUAAUCGAAAAA